GCUCAGUGAUGAUAUAAAGGCUAAUGUGACUUGACCAGCUGGGUUGCACCCUCAGCCCAUUCCAGUAAUACGGGCCUGUAAUCUUGGUGGACGAUGCUGAGCUGUGCAUGUUUGCUGUAAGGGCAGGCCGACAAAAAUUCCCCUUCUCCGCGUCCCUGGAAAAUACAUCUUUGGGAUGCAUCAGCUCUGAGCAAGUGUUUCCAUGAGUUGGCAAGGGGCUAUGGGGAUAGGAUAGGCCAGUGAAAAAAAACAGGUUUGGGUUGUAGGGGGCAGCCCACAUUACAGCUGGUGAGAUGUGAGCACACAUCUUUGGUAAUCUGAUGACU
ensembl:snoRNA small Cajal body-specific RNA 10